CAGCCAUAUUACAUUAAAAUAACGGUUCUCGUUCGAUUACCGAAGUUAAGCAACGUCGAGCCUAGUCAGUUCGUAGAUGGGUGAUCGCUUGGGAAUACCAUUUG